GGAAACACCACCAACAUCUGCACAGUCUCGAGUUUUCGUUCGCUUUGGGUAGAAGGUUCUGGAAGCUCUUUUCCAUGGGGGAAAUUCUCCUCUUGGCUCUUUUGGUUGGCGGUUUGGUGGAAGUUGCAACCGCGGACUCUAGCAAUUGCGUUGAAGGAUGCAGCCUCUUGCGCCUUCACGGCCUGGCCCACAGCCUUCAACGAGGUUCCACGCCCCUGUAUUUCUGGGCGCCCGAAACCGUUGAUCUGUGGCUGGAUGCGCCAGGUAUUACUGGCUUCGGAUAUGUUGGUAUUGAUAAGAUACACAAGUGGCAUGAGAUCACUUUUACUCAUGAAGCUGCACAAGGGGAAAAUUGUACCUCUGUACCUACACUGUUGCCGAAGAAGGUGUGCGGGUCUUCGUCCUAUAUGUACCUGCAUUCAAACCGGCCGGGGUUCUGGGCUCUAAACUGCCCCUCGACGCCCUGUGAGUGUCCUGACAUGACCAUCGACAAAUGCAAGAGUUCAUCAGAAACAGCUACACGAUGCGGAAGCCAUGGAAUGGAUGCAAUUAGAAUCCCUCUAGAUGAAGCCUCUACAUGGUACUGGUGGCCCGGAUAUACGGAUGAGAUAAAACUGUAUUUCCCUCAACACGUGGAUCAUAUUGCCGUGACUCCCAACUCGUAUCAGAUGAAACAGUGGAACGACUUUACGAUUGUUCAAGGAACUGUUAGUUAUAAUGGAACGCAAAAGCCAACCUGUUCGAUCGUCAGUCGGAGUUUGAACAUAUUUGCCACAUGCACUAAGGAAGUUAAUCGAGACAGUGACCUGUUUUUGAAGACCUUUUCCGGAGGCCGACAUAUGAUUAGCUACUGGGCACCGAAAUGCUUGCCGAGAUCUCCAAUUGUGGACAUCGCGCAACCGGCGGAGGAAAAUUCGAAGUCGACUGUUGAAACGCAUUCUGCCACGGGGAUACUCCUGUACGUGAAUCUCGUAAUGAUCAGCGCCUGUCUCAUUCCUGGAUUGAUAAGCGUGUGCAUCUUGGCGCGCUGGUCUAAGGAAAGGAUGCUAUAGACGUUUCUCGAAGGAGACCACCAUGGGCUGCGUGAGGGAACGAACAAACUUUACAUCAAAAUGCUAGGGAGGUCACACAGUAUAAUUGGCAUCGUCAAUCGGAACAAACGACAGGUCAAAGAUGGUCCG
rnacentral:misc_RNA from 1 species